rnacentral:rRNA from 1 species
GACGAACGCUGGCGGCGUGCUUAACACAUGCAAGUCGAACGGAAAGGCCCUGCUUUUGUGGGGUGCUCGAGUGGCGAACGGGUGAGUAACACGUGAGUAACCUGCCCUUGACUUUGGGAUAACUUCAGGAAACUGGGGCUAAUACCGGAUAGGAGCUCCUGCUGCAUGGUGGGGGUUGGAAAGUUUCGGCGGUUGGGGAUGGACUCGCGGCUUAUCAGCUUGUUGGUGGGGUAGUGGCUUACCAAGGCUUUGACGGGUAGCCGGCCUGAGAGGGUGACCGGCCAAAUUGGGACUGAGAUACGGCCCAGACUCCUACGGGAGGGAGCAGUGGGGAAUAUUGCACAAUGGGCGGAAGCCUGAUGCAGCAACGCCGCGUGCGGGAUGACGGCCUUCGGGUUGUAAACCGCUUUCGCCUGUGACGAAGCGUGAGUGACGGUAAUGGGUAAAGAAGCACCGGCUAACUACGUG